UUUGCAGACGGUGAAGUGGAGUCACUGACUGGCUUCAACUCAUGCCAAGUGUCAGAGCUAACUGCAGAGGCAGAGCUCUCGCUUUUCCCCAUGAGCUUCAGCAAAAUGCAGGAUCUCUCCCAAGGGAGCUCGAAGCAGAGCUCGAGGGUGCGUGAUGACAGGCUCCUAAGAAGCAGCUCUGGGUUGGGGGCAGAACAUCUUCACAAACCCCAUGCCCGGGUGUGCCGUGAGGAGCUCCGAGGUGCAGCCACUGGGCACCUACCGUGGACCCCAUUCCAGCCACUGGGGAUAGAGAUGAACGGUACCACCCCUGCCUUCCAGAAGCUCGGAGUCUAGCAAGACCACAGACCAGCAAUUAUAUGAGCACACUGAGGCACAAAGAGAUUGAGAAGCUUUCCAGACACUGCACAGGUGGUA